GACGAACGCUGGCGGCGCGCCUAACAUAUGCAAGUCGAGCGAGAACCGGGGCUUCGGCCCCGGGGACAGCGGCGAACGGGUGAGUAACACGUGGAUAACCUGCCCUCGGCACCGGAAUAGCCCGGGGAAACUCGGAUUAAUGCCGGAUAGCCCCACAUCCCUGCGGGGAACGUGGGAAAAGGUAGCUUCGGCCUCUGGCCGGGGAUGGGUCCGCGGUGGAUUAGCUUGUUGGCGGGGUAACGGCCCACCAAGGCGACGAUCCAUAGCUGGUCUGAGAGGACGAUCAGCCACACUGGGACUGAGACACGGCCCAGACUCCUACGGGAGGCAGCAGUGGGGAAUCUUGCGCAAUGGGCGAAAGCCUGACGCAGCGACGCCGCGUGCGGGAAGAAGGCCUUAGGGUUGUAAACCGCUUUCAGGAGAGACGAAGCCACUCGGGUUAAUAGCCCAGAGGGUGACGGUACCUCCAGAAGAAGCCCCGGCUAACUACGUGCCAGCCGCCGCAGUAACAC
rnacentral:rRNA from 1 species